rnacentral:rRNA from 1 species
AAGGGCGACUGAAACGGGAUGAGCCCAGCGCAUAACCUCGCGGUCCUACGUGGCCGUCGAGGGGUGUUGCGUUUCGGUGCAUCCAUCCCGCCCGAGCUGCUCACCGCCUAAGUCAUUGCUUGAAAGCAGCCCCGCGGAGGGUGAUAGGCCCGUGUGGCGGCGCCUGUAAAACGGGUGUAGGCGGCCCGGGCGGAGGGAUGUCCACCGCAGAGUCGGGUUGCUUAGUACUGCAGCCCUAAGCAGGUGGUAAACUCCAUCUAAGGCUAAAUACAACCACGAGUCCGAUAGGCGACAAGUACCGUGAGGGAAAGCUGAAAAGGACUUUGAAGAGAGAGUUAACAAGGACGUGAAACCGUUAGAAGCCCAAACGGGUGGAACUGCGAUGUUCGAACGAGGGGAUUCAGCCCGUGGGCCUGUGGCGCGGUGGGCGGUUCAGAGAGAUUACGAUGAGAUGACCCGGCAUGAAUUGGGAUAGCCGUGGCACCGCCCCCGCCUGCGCAGUGUUCCGCGGGCUUAUUUCGCCCUCUAGUAGGCGUCGCCGCGACUCGUUGCGGGGACUCCCAGGGCCGCGUCGGAUUGGUAGCCCGGACCUUCGGGUCCAGGUGACGACCGGCUGCGGUGCCGACGGGCCCCCGCGACGAGCACUGCCAGGAGGCCUGGUGGCGGCCGCUCCGGCGGCCGCUGCUGGCAUCUCUCGCGGCGCAGACAGGGAUAGGUAAUCCACCCGACCCGUCUUGAAGCACGGACCAAGGAGUCCAACAGGUGCGCAAGUCUAAGGGUGUGACUAAACCUGGAGGCGAAAUGAAAGUGAGCCAGUGAGAGGCAGGCCGAUCUCCGGCCGGGAUGCUCUUCGGGCAGAUGGGCCGGGCCCUCGCGGAGACGCGAGGGCCUGUGUUGCCGCUGCCCGGGGCGCCCGGCGUCCGACAGGGCCGCUCCUAAACACGGGGCCGGAGCGCAGGCCGAGGACUUGCCGUUGUGCGGCCCGGGAGACGGGGCGGUCGCUCACGCGGCCGUCCUCACCCCGGUGUCCGCUGGCAAGUACCUAAGAGCGCAGAUGUUGGGACCCGAAAGAUGGUGAACUAUGCCUGGCGAGGACGAAGCCAGAGGAAACUCUGGUGGAGGUCCGAAGCAGUUCUGACGUGCAAAUCGAUUGUCAGAGCUGGGUAUAGGGGCGAAAGACUAAUCGAACCAUCUAGUAGCUGGUUCCCUCCGAAGUUUCCCUCAGGAUAGCUGGUACUCGGAGGAGAUGAGUUUCAUCCGGUAAAGCGAAUGAUUAGAGGCCUUGGGGGUGCAACGCCCUCAACCUAUUCUCAAACUUUAAAUGGGUGAGAUGUAGAGCUUGCUUGAUCACACUGAAGCUCUAUGAUGAAGGAAUCAGAGUGCCUAGUGGGCCACUUUUGGUAAGCAGAACUGGCGCUGUGGGAUGAACCAAACGUACGAGUUAAGGGGCCUAAAUGGAUGCUAAUGUAGACACUACGAAAAGGUGUUGGUUGCUAUAGACAGCAGGGCGGUGGCCAUGGAAGUUGGAACCCGCUAAGGAGUGUGUAACAACUCACCUGCCGAAGCAACUAGCCCUUAAAAUGGUAUGGCGCUAAAGCAUUCUCCCGAUACUCGGCCGCCGGGGCAUUAGCCGACCUGAUGUGCAAGGGUCUCGAAGCCCCGGCGAGUAGGAGGGUCGCAGCGGUGAGCGCAGAAGGGACACGGCGCAGGCCGGCCUGGAGCCUCCGCUGGCGCAGAUCUUGGUGGUAGUAGCAAAUAAUCAAGAGAGAACCUCGUUGACUGAUGUGGAGAAGGGUUCCAUGUCAACAUCAGUUGAACAUGGGUGAGUCAGGCCUAAGCCCAAGGAUAAACUUCCUGUGUCCCAGGUGUUCCGAAAGCGACUGAUCGGUCCUUAGAGAGAGAUAUAUAUGGCAAGCUAGCUAGCAAGGAGAGGAGGAGGAGCCUGUUGAUGUGAUGAUGAUGUGUGCAGAGAGAACAUUGCGAGAGGCAUGACCGCGCGGUCGUCGGGGGUGCGGACGGGAGAGAGCCCAAGAACGGCCGUUCGUAUUCGUAGAUCUACGCCGCUACCCCGGUGACCGCGGAUGUGUGUAGCCUGCUCAUCUCUCAUCCUGUCGAGCCGAGAUGUGGACCGUAGCUGGCACACUCGCGCACACACACACACACACACAGGGCUGAGCAGCACUGAAGCUUCUCCUCCUGUCGUUGCUGGCGGCAAAGCUAAUAAA